rnacentral:rRNA from 1 species
UAGAAUUCAAUUGGUAGAGGAGCAUUCUUAAAGGGACGAAGCAGUACCGAAAGGAGCUGUGGACUUUUAAGAAGAGAGAAUGCCGGAAUGAGUAGCGAGAGGAAGGUGGGAAUCCUUCCGGCCGAAUAUCUAAGGUUUCCAGAGUAAAGCUGAUCUGCUCUGGGUAAGUCGGGGCCUAAGGCGAGGUCGAAAGACGUAGUCGAUGGAUAACAGGUUGAAAUUCCUGUACUAUCCUGUAACAGAACUGUGGGGACACAGGCAGAGAGCGUGAGCCGGGAAUGGAAAGACCGGUACAAGCGAGGUAGGAGAAGAGUUGGCAAAUCCGCUCUUUAAUCUGAAGACGUGAUGUGGACUGAAAAUAGGUAGGGAAGCACGUGAGCUGACUGUCAAGAAAAGCCGCUAUUGUUUGCAGGAUACCCGUACCGUAAACCGACACAGGUGGAUGAGGAGAGAAUCCUAAGGCCGACGGGAGAAGCAUUGUUAAGGAACUCGGCAAAAUGACUCCGUAACUUCGGGAGAAGGAGUGCCAGUAAGAUGGCCGCAGAGAAUUGGCCCAAGCAACUGUUUAGCAAAAACACAGGUCUAUGCAAAACCGAAAGGUGAGGUAUAUGGGCUGACGCCUGCCCGGUGCUGGAAGGUUAAGGGGAGAGGUUAGCGCAAGCGAAGCUUUGAACUUAAGCCCCAGUAAACGGCGGCCGUAACUAUAACGGUCCUAAGGUAGCGAAAUUCCUUGUCGGGUAAGUUCCGACCCGCACGAAAGGCGUAAUGAUUUGGGCACUGUCUCAACAAUGCACCCGGUGAAAUUGAAAUACCAGUGAAGAUGCUGGUUACCUGCGCCAGGACGGAAAGACCCCAUGGAGCUUUACUCCAGCUUGAUACUGGGAUUCGGUAUUGCAUGUACAGGAUAGGUGGGAGGCUAGGAAAUGGUAACGCCAGUUGCCAUGGAGCCAAUGUUGGGAUACCACCCUUGCAGUACUGGGUUUCUAACCAGCAGCCGUGAUCCGGCUGGGGGACAAUGUCAGGUGGGGAGUUUGACUGGGGCGGUCGCCUCCGAAAGGGUAUCGGAGGCGCUCAAAGGUUCCCUCAGAAUGGUUGGAAACCAUUCGAAGAGUGCAAAGGCAGAAGGGAGCUUGACUGCGACACCGACGGGUGGAGCAGGUACGAAAGUAGGACUUAGUGAUCCGGUGGUAUAAAGUGGGAUUGCCAUCGCUCAACGGAUAAAAGCUACCCUGGGAUAACAGGCUUAUCACUCCCAAGAGUUCACAUCGACGGAGUGGUUUGGCACCUCGAUGUCGGCUCAUCGCAUCCUGGGGCUGAAGUAGGUCCCAAGGGUUGGGCUUUCGCCCAUUAAAGCGGUACGCGAGCUGGGUUCAGAACGUCGUGAGACAGUUCGGUCCCUAUCCGGCGUGGGCGUAAGAUAUUUGAGAGGAGCUGUCCUUAGUACGAGAGGACCGGGAUGGACUGGCCGCUGGUGUAUCUGUUGUCUUACCAAAGGCAUAGCAGAGUAGCCAAGCCGGGAAGGGAUAAACGCUGAAGGCAUCUAAGCGUGAGGCCCCCCUCAAGAUGAGAUAUCUCAUAACGUCAAGUUAGUAAGACCCCUUGAAGACGACGAGGUAGAUAGGGCAGAGGUGGAAGUGUGGUAACACAUGGAGCUGACUGUUACUAAUAGGUCGAGGGCAUAAUC